rnacentral:tRNA from 1 species
AGUCUUGUAUUUUAAAAAAAAUAUUAAAUUGCAAGUUUAAAGAUGAAUUUUCUAAGACUU